CGGGAAUGCCGGGCACUCUAAGGGGACCGCCCCGGAUAACGGGGAGGAAGGCGGGGAUGACGUCAAGUCAGCAUGGCCUUUAUGUCCAGGGCUACACACGUGCUACAAUGGGCGAUACAGAGGGAAGCAAGGCCGCAAGGUAGAGCUAAUCCCUAAAGUCGUCCUCAGUUCGGAUUGCAGGCUGCAACUCGCCUGCAUGAAGUCGGAAUCGCUAGUAAUCGCGGAUCAGCUACGCCGCCGGUGAAUACGUUCUCGGGCCUU
rnacentral:rRNA from 1 species